CAGAUCGAGUAGUCCUCAAUUAUGGCUAACUGGCAAAUUGCAGGUGUUUAUUCAUAUUUUAUGCAUGUAUAUGAACAUUUUCAUGCACGACUAUUACUGAAUUAGAUGACUUAGAUGAUUACAAAAAAUAGUCAGGCUAAUCAAUAGGUAGAUUUUUUUCUACUCUGCCCUCCUAUAUCUACUGUGGUCAAUCUUUUUAAUAUAAAAAUAAUUUUGCGCAGUCUACUUUAGGUGAAAAGCCGGGGAAGAGUUUUUCCCACACUAUACAGCAUAUGAAGACUACCGCCAAUCGGAAGACUCUCCGUGACGUGUCGACUGUCACGUGAUAAUUUUGGAUAAAAUAUAAAAAAGACACGAUUUUAGUUUUCAAAAUGAAGCAUUUCCUGAGCAAGUUUCUAGCUUCCUGGCAGCCAGUUUACAGUAACCCAGCGUCUACAGCACGACUAUUCAGUCUCACCUCCUCGCCCUCAGCCACACCGGGGUGGACAGUGAAAGACCUUUCACUCAAAAUCAUGGUGCAGACUGAAUCCGGAGUCGCCAGACGUACCAGCAUUCUCAGGCUCGGGAAGAAGAUCCACUUUAACCGACGUCUGACGCGUCUAAUGCGUGUGGAGAUAUUUCAUGCUCUUUGCAUGAUCGAAAGACACAUCAAAAUGUGUUUUCAGAUCAGCCUUAUGACAAUCAGACAAUAAAAUAUAGGUCUCCCACUGCAGAACAUCAAUGAGAAAAUAAUAAUAAACAAGCAGGCAGAAAACAAGAGAAAGAGCAUAUGUACCAUCUUUAAUCUUUUAAUGCUUAAUUACUCUACAAUACUACAUUUAGGUUAAAAUCAAAUUGUUAUGUAGUCUCGUGAAAUCACAAAAUAAAACUUUGUCGAAAAUUAAAUAAUAAAUACAUGAUUUAAAGGCCCGGUUAUUUGCUAUUACUUGAUUACAUAUAUUCGAGUGUGUUCCAAGCGGCCUUAUACUUUUUUUUUUUUUCAAAUAAAUAAAAAGUGGAAACAUGUAUAAAAAAAUUGUUUGUGUCAAAGAAAUGUUAAUUUAAGUCAUGUAAUAAAAAAAUUCUUUGGAA